AGAGAAUUAAACCAAUUUGAGGAAAUUAUUAUGGGGAGGUGGGAUGGAUGAAAAAUGGGUAAAUAAAUAGAUAUAUAAACAAAGCAUCAGCCCUCAAGGCCAAGUGUUUUCUGGGAGGAAAGGUUGGAGAACUCAAUUAGGAGAGUUAUUUCAGUAUCUAGAUCUUUCCACUGUCUGGAUCAUUCUUUCAUGUGUCAUAUGUCUUACCAAGGCUUGAUGUCCUCACUGAAAAAUGCCCAAUAAUCUUAAAGUACAGUGCAUUUUAUGACAUCAUUAGUUCCUUAAAGCAACCUGUUUAAGAACCUUAAUUCUCUAAAGAUGAAAAAGAGACAAACAGAGAUGCAGGCCAUUAAAUCCAUCCUUGGAAUAUUUCAUCAGCUUACUGGCUGGUACCCAGUAGGUGUUCGUAUCUGCCCACCAAAGAAGCUAAUUCUGGCUGACUUAAGCAAGAAAAAAAUUUAUUCAAAGGACGUUGGGUCAUGCCCGGAACCUCCCAGAAGCCUGAAGAUUCCAGACUCUAGAUCUGUGUGGCUAGAAACAAGGCCCCAAAGAGCACCCGAUGAAUGCUAUUCCUCAGGGAAAAGACAGUUCUGUCCUCUCAACUCCACUCUUUGCUAACAACUUCCCAAUUAAAAAUCCAGGACAUCUACCCACGCCUGCCUGCAAGGGAGGAGAGAAAGUUGAGAUCUAGCACGUUCAGCUUCUCAUGUGAGCCAUGGCCUCCUCCCAGGUGGGGAGCCCCCAGAGUGGACACUGAGAAGAGCAAGCUGUAAGCACAGCAGCCUCUCGCUCCCUUUCCUUCAGCGUGGCUGGCACCAGCCCCAGAGCUGCCUUGCUAUCCCCUCUUUGGCUUUGUCUUCCCUUUUUCAUCAUCCCCUUGCCCUUUGGACUUGAUAACUGCAUUUGGCUCACUUACUUUUUGACCCUGGACACUUCACAGUGUUUCUCAACAGGAGCACUGGUGCAAAAACACUUCCUUGCUGAGCAGAAACGCCCCUUGUGUUGCAGACUCUGUGGCAUUCCUGGCCAUGCUCACUUAAGGCAAGGACUAUGGCACGGUCUUGGUGACAACCAGAGAAAAUGGAUACUGCUUUCCAAACUGACCCCAGCCUUGGUGGGAAGUGAGGAGAUAGCAUGAUUCCAGGGGUGGUGGGAGGGGAAGCAUUGCUGUGGAAAGACUGCGCCCACAGGCCACCUGUCCCCUCCAGGGCUGGAUCACUGCCUCCCAGUGCUGCAGCUCUGGACUUGAACUGAACCCAGCCAGCUGCUUACCUGGACAGGAAACUGCCAUGUCCCCUUGGAGGGGGAAGCUUGUCGAUCAAAACUGACAUUGGCAGGAAUUAUCAAAC
rnacentral:lncRNA from 1 species